rnacentral:rRNA from 1 species
AUUGAACGCUGGCGGCAGGCCUAACACAUGCAAGUCGAGCGGAUGAAGGGAGCUUGCUCCUGGAUUCAGCGGCGGACGGGUGAGUAAUGCCUAGGAAUCUGCCUGGUCGUGGUUGAUAACGUCCGGAAACGGGCGCUAAUACCGCAUACGUCCUGAGGGAGAAAGUGGGGGAUCUUCGGACCUCACGCUAUCUGAUGAGCAUAGGUCGGAUUAGCUAGUUGGUGGGGUAAAGGCCUACCAAGGCGACGAUCCGUAACUGGUCUGAGAGGAUGAUCAGUCACACUGGAACUGAGCCACGGUCAAGCAUCCUACGGGAGGAAGCAGUGGGGAAUAUUGGAAAAUGGGCGAAAGCCUGCUGAAGCAAUGCGGCGUGUGUGAAGAAGGUCUCCGGAUUGUAAAGCCCUUUAAGUUGGGCGGAAGGGCAGUAAGUUAAUAACUUGCUGUUUUGACGUUACCAAAAGAAUAAGCCCCGGCUAACUUCGUG